GUGAACGCUGGCGGUAGGCCUAACACAUGCACGUCGAACGGCAGCACCGGAGAGCUUGCUCUCUAGGUGGCGAGUGGCGGACGGGUGAGGAAUACAUCGGAAUCUGCCCAGUCGUGGGGGAUAACGUAGGGAAACUUACGCUAAUACCGCAUACGACCUUCGGGUGAAAGAGGGGGAUCGCAAGACCUCUCGCGAUUGGAUGAGCCGAUGUCGGAUUAGCUAGUUAGCGGGGUAAUGGCCCACCAAGGCGACGAUCCGUAGCUGGUCUGAGAGGAUGAUCAGCCACACUGGAACUGAGACACGGUCCAGACUCCUACGGGAGGCAGCAGUGGGGAAUAUUGGACAAUGGGCGCAAGCCUGAUCCAGCCAUACCGCGUGGGUGAAGAAGGCCUUCGGGUUGUAAAGCCCUUUUGUUGGGAAAGAAAUCUUUCAGGCUAAUACCCUGGGAGGAUGACGGUACCCAAAGAAUAAGCACCGGCUAACUUCGUG
rnacentral:rRNA from 1 species